rnacentral:rRNA from 1 species
CCUACGGGUGGCAGCAGUGGGGAAUAUUGGACAAUGGGGGGAACCCUGAUCCAGCCAUGCCGCGUGUGUGAAGAAGGCCCUCGGGUUGUAAAGCACUUUCAGUGAGGAAGAACGCCUGGUGGUUAAUACCCAUCAGGAAAGACAUCACUCACAGAAGAAGCACCGGCUAACUCCGUGCCAGCAGCCGCGGUAAUACGGAGGGUGCGAGCGUUAAUCGGAAUUACUGGGCGUAAAGCGCGCGUAGGUGGCUUGAUAAGCCGGUUGUGAAAGCCCCGGGCUCAACCUGGGAACGGCAUCCGGAACUGUCAAGCUAGAGUGCAGGAGAGGAAGGUAGAAUUCCCGGUGUAGCGGUGAAAUGCGUAGAGAUCGGGAGGAAUACCAGUGGCGAAGGCGGCCUUCUGGACUGACACUGACACUGAGGUGCGAAAGCGUGGGUAGCAAACAGGAUUAGAUAUCCUAGUAGUC